GAUGAACGCUGGCGGCGUGCCUAACACAUGCAAGUCGAGCGGAAGGACGGUAAGCUUGCGCCUCUGAUGUUAGCGGCGGACGGGUGAGUAACACGUGGAUCACCUACCUAUAUUUCUGGGAUAACUACGGGAAACCGGAGAUACUACUACAGCAUAUUUUGAACCGGAUGGUUCAAAAGUGAAUGACGGUCUUGCUGUCUCUUCUAGAUGGAUCCGCGCUGCAUUAGCUAGUUGGUAAGGUAACGGCUUACCAAGGCUACGAUGCGUAGCCGACCUGAGAGGAUGAUCGGCCACACUGGAACUGAGACACGGUCCAGACUCCUACGGGAGGCAGCAGUGGGGAAUCUUCGGCAAUGGGCGGAAGCCUGACGGAGCAACGCCGCGUGGGUGAUGAAGGUCUUCGGGUCGUAAAACCCUGUUAUUGGGGAAGAACAGAUGUAGAAUUAAAUGUGCAUAUCUUGACGGUACCUAAACAAAAAGCACCGGCUAACUACGUG
rnacentral:rRNA from 1 species